AGGAUUAACGCUGGCGGCGUGCCUAAUGCAUGCAAGUCGGACGCGCCCCAGCUUCGGUUGGGGUGGCGUGGCGGACGGGUGAGGAGCGCGUGGGCAACCUGCCCGGAGGUGGGGGGUAGCCACGGGAAACCGUGGGUAAUUCCGCAUGGGGUCG
rnacentral:rRNA from 1 species